AGAGAGAAAGAGCCAGAAGGCAAGAUAUCAGAUACGCCAACUUGCCAAACUUCCUAAGAUGCGUGCCGGGAUCCUUUCGGUGUUUCUCCUCUGCCUUCUCACCUUGUCUUCAGCCUGCUACUUCACGAACUGCCCACGAGGAGGGAAGAAGAAGUCCGUGCCUGAAAUAAAAACCCAACAGUGUAUGUACUGUGACCCGGAAUACCGAGGGAAGUGCUUUGGGGACAAGAUUUGUUGUGACAAAGAAAAGGGCUGCCUACUUGUGACCAACCCAGAAGGAAGAUGCCAGGAGGAGGGCCGUCCCCCUGCUCCCUGCCCGUAAGAGAGUUGGGUCUCCGAUGCUGCCUGCGGAAGUGAGAACGGCGAGAGAGGACGGACGUCUCCCGAAAGGAAUUUGACCGGGCUGGACGGCUCAACUGGAGACCUCCUUCUCCGGCUGAUGCACCUGGCCAGCAAGCAGCAACAUGGAAAACCACAAUUUUAUUAAGGCGUUCGGAGCGCUGGCAUUUCGUGGCCUUAAAGGGCUUCGAACUCGAAGCUGCCCCGAGAGAUCCAAAGCGUAUAACCGUUUAAGAGUAAAAUAUAAAUAUUCUACCCCCAAACCAGUUCUAAAUUAAUAAAAGUCUUCUUGCAUCGUGUGAC